AGUGACAGCUUCAGUUACCCAGCUCCUAUUAUGCAAAUGAAACUGAAGCCAGAAGUUGUGCACCUGUGCUUGCCUCUGGACUUAAUAUUUCUAAUGAGUUCGUAAAUCCUGUUCUACAGACAAGCCUGUGAGAUUGCUCAACUCGGAUUACAGUAGAGCAGGCUAGCAAUAUGCGGUACAAUACUCUCAUGAUGCUGGGCAGGAGCAGUUAGCAACAGCCAUGUGAUAAUCCCCAAGUUCUGGAUGCUGGAAAUCCAAGAUCAAGGCACCAGCAUGGUUAUGUUCUCUGGACAAGAGCCCUCUUCCUGGUCAUAGCUGGUGUCUUCCCUCUGUAUCUUCACAUGGUGAAAGGAGCCCAGGAUCUCUAUGGAGCUUCUUUUAGAAGGCACUAAUUCCAUCCACGAAGACUCCAGUUUCCUCAAUUUAUCAACUCGCAAAGGCCCCACCUCCUAAUAACAUCAUGCUUGGGUUUUAGGACUUCAACAUAUGAAUUUUGCGGACACAACAUCCAAACCAUGGGAUCCC